rnacentral:rRNA from 1 species
AGCAGCCGCGGUAAUUCCAGCUCCAAUAGCGUAUAUUAAAGUUGUUGCAGUUAAAAAGCUCGUAGUUGAAUUUCGGGAUUAGUAGUCUGGUCGUGCCACUGGUAUGUACUGGUCUUACUGAUUUCUCCUUCUUGAAGAACCGUAAUGUCAUUAAUUUGGUGUUGCGGGGAAUCUGGACUGUUACUUUGAAAAAAUUAGAGUGUUUAAAGCAGGCUAACGCUUGAAUACAUUAGCAUGGAAUAAUGAAAUAGGACGUUCGAUCCUAUUUUGUUGGUUUCCAGGAUUGACGUAAUGAUUAAUAGGAAUAGUUGGGGGCAUUAGUAUUCAAUUGUCAGAGGUGAAAUUCUUGGAUUUAUUGAAGACUAACUACUGCGAAAGCAUUUGCCAAGGAUGUUUUCAUUAAUCAAGAACGAAAGUUAGGGGAUCGAAGACGAUCAGAUACCGUCGUAGUCUUAACCAUAAACUAUGCCGACUAGGGAUUGGAUGAUGUUAAUUUUAUAAUGACUCAUUCGGCGCCUUA